GACGAACGCUGGCGGUGUGCUUCACACAUGCAAGUCGAACGAGGUAGCAAUACCUAGUGGCGGACGGGUGAGUAACGCGUGGGAAUCUGCCUUUAGAUGGGGGGAUAACGGGUCGAAAGACUCGCUAAUACCGCAUAUGACGAAAGUUGAAAGGAGUAAUCCGUCUAAAGAUGAGCCCGCGUCCGAUUAGCUAGUUGGUAGAGUAAAAGCCUACCAAGGCGACGAUCGGUAGCUGGUCUGAGAGGAUGAUCAGCCACAAUGGGACUAGAGACACGGCCCAUACUCCUACGGAGGCAGCAGUGGGAAUUUUACGCAAUGGCGAAAGCCUGACGUAGCGACACCGCGUGAGCGAAGAAGCCCUGGGGUGUAAAGCUCUGUCAGCUGGACGAAAAAAUGACGGUACCAGCAGAGGAAGCAUCGGCU
rnacentral:rRNA from 1 species